rnacentral:lncRNA from 1 species
AUGUCCGCGUUGUGCCACUCUCCCAGGGUCCCAGGGCCCCAGGGCCACCCGGACCUGCCCCUGCCACCCACGGUCCUGUGCCUCUCAGUGCUCAGGAGCUGUCCCAAGAAAUCAAGGCUUUUCUGACUGGUGUAGACCCUAUUCUGGGCCACCAGCUCUCAGCUCGUGAACAUGCUCAAUGUGGUCUUCUCCUGCUCCGUUCUUUGCCACCUGCUCAGGCUGCUGUGUUGGACCACUUGAGAGGUGUUUUUGAUGAGAGUGUCCAGGCCCACCUAGCUGCCCUAGAAGAAAGUCCUGUGGCUGGUCCACCUCACCUCCGUCCACCUUCACCAUCCCAUGUCCCUACUGGUGGACCUGGCUUAGAGGAUGUGGUGCAUGAAGUGCAGCAGGUGCUGUGUGAGUUUAUCCGGGCCAACCCAAAGGUCUGGGCACCUGUGAUUAGUGCGUGGUCCAUUGACCUCAUGGGACAACUGAGCAGCACAUAUUCAGGUCAGCAUCAGCGUGUUCCCCAUGCCACUGGCUCUCGCAAUGAACUGCUGCAGCUGUGGAUGAGCUGCAGGGACACCCGUACAUUAAUGGACAUCUAUGUGCAGUGCCUCUCGGCCCUCAUUGGUAGCUGCCCAGAUGCAUGUGUGGAUUCCUUGCUAGACACUUCUGUCCAGCAUUCCCCACACUUUGACUGGGUUGUGGCCCUUAUUGGCUCUUCUUUUCCUGGCACCAUCAUUAUCCCGAGUCCUCUCUUGUGGCCUUAAGGACUUCUGUGUCCAUAGUGGGGCUGGAGGAGGAGCUAGUGCUUGUGAAAGUUCUUCUCAAACCCCCUCUACAGACUCCUUCCCUGGAUUUCCUGCCAUCCCUGGGGAAAAACGGGUACCCAAGAUUGCCUCAGCUGUAGGCAUCCAAGUCACCUGGCUUUCUGCCAUGGAGACAGCAUCUGACGGGAACUGUUGCGCAUGUUUCAUGAUAGUUUGGCAGAGGGUUCUGGGGGCCGGAAUGGAGAUCCCUCUCUUCAGGCCACAGUUCCCUUCCUACUCCAGCUGGCAGUCAUGUCACCAGUUUUGCUAGGCACAGUGUCUGGAGAACUUGUGGACUGCCUCAAGCCCCCAGCAGUGCUAAGCCAGCUGCAACAACACCCUGCAGGGGUUCCCCAGAGAAGAGCUAGACAACAUGCUAAACCUGGCUGUGCAUCUAGUGAGAUAGGCCUCUGGGACUGGUGCCUACCGCCUGCUGCAGUUCUUAGUGGACACAGCAAUGCCUGCUGCAGUUAUUACUACCCAGGGCCUGGCUGUGCCAGACACCAUGAGAGAGGCCUAUGACCGGCUGAUCCAGCUGCUAUUGCUACAUCUACAAAAACUGGUUCAUCAUCGGGGAGGGGCUCCUGGAGAAGGAGUGCUGGGCCCACCCUCACCUCCUCUUCCAGUGCCCUUUCUUGAUGCAUUACGAAACCAUGUUGGAGAGCUGUGUGGAAAGACAUUACGGCUAGAACGGAAGCGCUUCCUCUGGCAACACCAGCUCCUGGCCUACUGUCUGUCUAUACACAACCUAGCUGUGGACCUGAGGCCUUGGACCAUCUACUGAGCAGAGCCAGAAGCCCUGAAGAGUUGAGUUUGGCAACCCAGCUAUAUGCAGAGCUAGUGGUCAGUCUCUCUGGCCUUCUUCCCCUGGCCUUCUGAAGCUGCCUGGCUCAAGUGCAUGCCUGGACUUUACAGCCUCCCUUCACAGCCUGGUUUCUUCGCAAGUUGGCCUUGUUGGUGGGAUGGGAGCAGCAGGGUGAUGAGGGCCCUUCAGCCUUAGGGGCCCGGUUUGGGGAGUCUGCCUCAGCUCACCUGUCUGAUCUGGCUCCUCUCCUACUACACCCAGAGGAGGAAGUAGCUGAAGCUGCUGCCUCCCUCCUUGCAGUAUGUCCCUUUCCUUCUGAAGCCCUGUCCCCUUCCCAACUAUUGGGACUAGUGAGAGCUGGAGUACACCACUUCUUCAAUUCUCUAAGGCUGCAUGGCCCUCCUGGUGUGGCUUCAGCCUCUCAGCUUCUUACCCGCCUUUCUCAGACUUCCCCAGCUGGGCUCAAGGCUGUCCUACAGCUGCUUGUAGAGGUAGCCUUACAUAGGGGCAACACAGAACUGUUUGGAGAGGAAAUGGUUGGAGACAAUGAGACUCUCUCAAUUGUCUCAACCCCUUUGGCUUCUGCCUCAUUGUUGGACAUUAACCGGAGGCAUACUGCAGCAGUGCCAGGUCCUGGGGGGAUCUGGUCAGUUUUCCAUGCUGGAGUCAUCGGCCGUGGCUUAAAGUCACCUAAAAUUGUUCAGUCUCGAAACCAUCAAGAAGUGAUCUAUAACACCCAGAGUCUCAUUAGCCUCCUAGUGCACUGCUGCAGCGCAUCAGGGAGCAGUGAGCAUAAGGGUUACUGGGGGGCUCCCACCUGAGCCCAGAGGCAGCCAAAGCAGUUGCGGUGACCUUAGUGGAGAGCGUGUGUCCUAAUGCAGCUGGUGCUGAGCUGGCCUGGCCCCCAGAGGAUCAUGCCCGAGCCACCAUGGAGCGGGAUCUCCGAAUUGGUAGGCGCUUCCAGGAACAACCUCUGCUGUUUGAACUUUUGAAGCUGGUAGCAGCUGCUCCCCCAGCCCUGUGUUACUGCUCCGUGCUGCUACAGGGGCUGAUGGUUGCCCUCUUGAGCCGUUGGGAAACCUCUCAACACCCUGAUACAACCCACUCCCCCUGGCAUCUGGAGGCAUCCUUAUCCUGGUGGUUAUCAUGGCUGAGGGAAGCCUCUUGCCACCAGCCCUGGGUAAUAUGCACGAGAUAUUUAGCCAACUGGCACCUUUUGAAGUGCGUCUGUUGCUGCUUAGUGUCUGGGGUUUUCUUCGGGAGCAUGUGACCUGGCCCCAGAAGUUCAUCUUCCAGUCUGAGCGUGGCCGUUUCAUCCGGGACUUUGCCAGGGAGGGUGGAGCUGAAGGAGGACCACAUCUGUCUGUGCUGCAUAGUGUCCUCCACCACAACAUCGAUCGCCUGAGGCUCUUCUCUGGCCGCUUUCAAGCACCUCCGCCAUCCACUCUGCUUCGGCAGGGGACUUGA